UACGGAGGGUGCAAGCGUUGUUCGGAAUUAUUGGGCGUAAAGCGCGCGCAGGCGGUCAACGAAGUCCAGGGGUGAAAUGCCGGAGCUCAACUCCGUGCCCGCCCCGGAUACUGGUUGACUGGAGACACGUAGAGGCAAGCGGAAUUUCGGGUGUAGCGGUGGAAUGCGUAGAGAUCCGAAAGAACACCGGAGGCGAAGGCGGCUUGCUGGGCGUGAUCUGACGCUGAGGCGCGAAAGCGUGGGGAGCGAACAGG
rnacentral:rRNA from 1 species